rnacentral:rRNA from 1 species
UACGUAGGAGGCAAGCGUUGUCCGGAAUCACUGGGCGUAAAGCGCGUGUAGGUGGAAGAGGAAGUCUGCUGUGAAAGCGCCUGGCUUAACCGGGCGAGGUCGGUGGAAACUCCUCAUCUCGAGGGCGGUAGAGGGGGGUGGAAUUCCGGGUGUAGUGGUGAAAUGCGUAGAGAUCCGGAGGAACACCUGUGGCGAAGGCGGCCCCCUGGGCCGCACCUGACGCUGAGACGCGAAAGCGUGGGGAGCGAACAGG